ensembl:lncRNA
GUCCUUCCAAUGAAUAUUCAGGACUUAUUUCCUUUAGGAUUAACUGGUUUGAUCUCCUUGCUGUCCAAGGGACUCGAAAGAGUCUUCUCCAACACCACAGUUCAAAAGCAUCAAUUCUUUGGUGUUCAAUUUUCUUUAUAUUCUGCCUCUCACAUCCAUACAUGACUACUGGCAUAACCAUAGCUUUGACUAUAUGGACCUUUGUCGGCAAAGUGAUGUCUCUGCUUUCUAAUAUGCUGUCUAGGUUUGUCAUAGCUUUCCUUCCAAGGAAUAAGCGUCUUUUAAUUUCAAGGCUGCAGUCACCAUCUGCCGUGAUUUUGGAGCCAAAGAAAAUAAAGUCUGUCACUGUUUCCAUUACAAUGUAGGAGACACUGAUUCGAUCCCUGGAUCAAGAAGAUCCCCUGGAGGAGGAAAUGGCAACCCAUUCCAGUAUUGUCUUGGAAAUCCCAUGGACAGAGAAGCCUGGUGUGCUACAGUCCUCGGGACUGUAAAAGAGUAGGACAUGACUUAGCAACUAAACAUUAUCAUCAAAUCCCCAAUAGUGGAAACCAAGGCAGAAAGAUCAAGUAGAUGGCUUUCUGCAAAAAACAACCAAGUGUAUUUCAUAAGACUGUUAUGCGAAGAUAGAAGAGAAAAAUGCCUUCCCAGGGAAAGUCCUUCCAGAGUGAAAGUGGAGCCUGACAGCUUGGAGGGCUGGAGCCUGUCAAGCACGGGUUGCGGUGAGAGAGGGCUACUCCAGCCGCAGUGUGUGAGCUUCUCAUGGAGAUGGCUUCUCUUGUUGCAGAGCGUGGGCUCUAGGUUCUGCGGGCUUCUGUCGCUGGGCAUGCGCCCUCAGCAGUUGUGGCUCCUGGACUCCGGAGCACAGGCUCAACAGUUGUG